UACGUAGGGUGCAAGCGUUGUCCGGAAUUAUUGGGCGUAAAGAGCUCGUAGGCGGUUUGUCGCGUCUGCUGUGAAAACUCGGGGCUCAACCCCGAGCUUGCAGUGGGUACGGGCAGACUAGAGUGCGGUAGGGGAGACUGGAAUUCCUGGUGUAGCGGUGGAAUGCGCAGAUAUCAGGAAGAACACCCGUGGCGAAGGCGGCUCUCUGGGACGGUACUGACGCUGAGACGCGAAAGCGUGGGGAGCGAACAGG
rnacentral:rRNA from 1 species